UCUUCAUGGGGCUCCGUAUGGUUUGAAGGACAUUAUUGGCUUCCAAAUCUUUCAGGGAUCAAGUUUUUAAUGUUGAAGCUUGGGUUUAUAAGAGAUUGAUGAGUCUAUUCGUAAGAUUGUGAUUCGUGUUCUAGGCUUCUGCAGUUGCUCGCUCUGUUGCAGCCGAUGUCAAAAGUGCUGGUGAUCAGGAAAUAAUUAAUUCAGUUGAUGUCACAUGUGGUCUAAGCUUUGGCGAAUACAUUGCUCUGGCGUUUGCAGGAGCUUGCAGGUUCCUGCCUUGCAUAACCUUAUGGAGACACAUAUAUUAGGAGUUGUCUGGUCAAGCUAAGAGGAGAAGCUAGGAUGCUACUGAAGCUGCAAAAAGUGCAAUGGUUAGUAUAAUUGGAUUAGACUCCGAGAAGGUCCACAAACUGUGUGAUGCAGCUAAUGAGGAAGUUGAUGAAGCCAACAAAGUUCAGAUUGCAAAUUUCUUGUGCCCAGUGAGUUUUUUCAAAUGCUCUAUAACCAGAGCAUUUGAGGAAGUUGGCUCUAUAACCAGUAAUUGGACUGGACUUCGAGAAGGUCCACAAACUGUGUGAUUCAGCUAAUGAGGAAGUUGAUGAAGCCAACAAAGUUCAGAUUGCAAAUUUCUUGUGCCCAGGAAAUUAUGCAGUCUCCGGAGGUCUUAAAGGAGUGGAAGUGGUAGAAGCAAAAGCAAAAUGAUUCAAAGCUCUAAUGAUGGUACGUCUAGCUAAGUUUUAUGAAUCCAGCUGUCUCAAGACUAGAAGCUGCUCUGGUGCAACAGAGAUCAGAACUCCUAGAAUACCAAUAAUAUCAAAUGUUGAUGUGCAACCACAUGCAGAUCCAGACACAAUUAAGAAAAUAUUAGCUCUCCAGAAAGCUCAUUCAUAAAUGACAAAAGCUGGUAUAUUCUAGGACAGCAGUCUGAAAGAUUUGUCAACUUUGAGAAAGAAGAGCUAUCCAAAACAGAUGCUUGCUUUGCCGUUCUGCACCAACACCAUGGGAUGACCUGCAAAUCUACUAGUACAAGAUGUUAAACCUGUGGAAUUCAAUCAUUGCAGUAUGGAAAAUUGACCGCGGAAUAAGGCUGCUGCUAAAUUUUAGUAUGCACAUUUGUAUGUUUUGCUUGUGGCUUGACCUCUCUGCAUAAAAAAGAAGCAAUUGUUGUUUAUGUAAUAUGUACUUUGUAAUGCAUUUUACGUUCUUGUUCAUUUAGCUCUAAUCUUUUGUUGCAAAUAAAGACAACUUUACGCAACAUCAGCUUGGCUCUCUCUUAGCUGAAUUCCCAUUAUUCUUAAAGUUACUCAAGCAGUUGAUCCAACAGAUGCUUACUAUCUGGGAAGUACAAUGAGAUCGCUCAACAAUCCACUGAGAAAUGAUACAAGGUUGACUAAGAAAAUUUCUAAGGUGUUCAGCACUCAGCCUGUGGCUUCCAACGAAGGACCUCUGAUUUUACCUUUAUGAUUCAUACCUAGAUGUUUAGUUCUCUGUGAGGAGCUCAAGACUUUGUGCUAACUCCCAAUGCUCACGAAAAAACUAUUGAUUGCUGAAGGACUCACACUGCAUUCUGAAUCCUUCUGAAGAAUGAUAAAUGCACAAAU